rnacentral:rRNA from 1 species
CUCGUAGGCGGUUCGUCGCGUCCGGUGUGAAAGUCCACCGCUUAACGGUGGAUCUGCGCCGGGUACGGGCGGGCUGGAGUGCGGUAGGGGAGACUGGAAUUCCCGGUGUAACGGUGGAAUGUGUAGAUAUCGGGAAGAACACCAAUGGCGAAGGCAGGUCUCUGGGCCGUUACUGACGCUGAGGAGCGAAAGCGUGGGGAGCGAACA